GAAGGAAAAAGAGGGUUGGAUUU
rnacentral:piRNA from 1 species